UACGUAGGGUGCAGGCGUUAAUCGGAAUUACUGGGCGUAAAGCGUGCGCAGGCGGUUUCUUAAGUCAGAUGUGAAAGCCCCGGGCUCAACCUGGGAACUGCGUUUGAAACUGGGAGACUUGAGUGUGGCAGAGGGGGGUGGAAUUCCACGUGUAGCAGUGAAAUGCGUAGAUAUGUGGAGGAACACCGAUGGCGAAGGCAGCCCCCUGGGUCAACACUGACGCUCAUGCACGAAAGCGUGGGGAGCAAACAGG
rnacentral:rRNA from 1 species